rnacentral:lncRNA from 1 species
GGUGGCUCGGGCGCGUGCGCGCGGUCGGCUGGGCCAGCUGAACUGUGGCGCGCGCGAGGGAGUUGGGCCGGUUCGGCCCAAUUCGGCCGGGCCGGUCCGUUUACCCCUUUUUUUUCUUUUAGGCCUUUUCUUUUUCUGUUUUCUCAAUUCUUUGAUAUCUUUUGUGUUUGAACUCCAAAUUGGUCCAAAUAAAUUCCAGAAAAUUUGUAAAAUCAUGUUCUACCAAGAUACAACUUUUGGAAGUAGUUUCCUCUCAAAAUAAAAUAGAUAAAAAUACAUUUUCCCUAUAAAUGCCUUUAGGGCUAUAUAUCCAUUUAAAUAAAACACUUUUUCAACUCCAAAUAAUUAUCCAAAAUUUAUGGGAUAGCUUAUAUAUGCAAUAAACCCCUUUUAUACUUGAACCUUAGUGGUUUGAAGAUCCAAAGCUCAAAUGGGUGUAAACCAAAUCUUUUAAAGACUUUUGAGAUUCAAAUUUGAAUUCAAACAUGCAAUUGUGGCAUGAUGCUCACGGAUGCAAUGCACAUGUAAAGGUUUGAAAUUUUGGGAUGUUACAGUAAGCU